rnacentral:rRNA from 1 species
UAAGCAUAUCAAUAAGCGGAGGAAAAGAAACCAACAGGGAUUGCCUUAGUAACGGCGAGUGAAGCGGCAAAAGCUCAGAUUUGAAAUCUGGUGCCAUAGAGGCAUCUGAGUUGUAAUCUGUAGAGGAGUAUUCGAGUAUGGCUUUGGCUUAAGUUCCUUGGAACAGGGCGUCAAAGAGGGUGAGAACCCCGUUUGCAGCCUUUGUCUUAUGCUUAUGUGAAUCUCCUUCAACGAGUCGAGUUGUUUGGGAAUGCAGCUCUAAAUUGGUGGUAAAUUCCAUCUAAAGCUAAAUACUGGCAAGAGACCGAUAGCGCACAAGUAGAGUGAUUGAAAGAUGAAAAGAUCUCUGAACAGAGAGUUAAAUAGUACGUGAAAUUGUUGAAAGGGAAGCACUUGCUACCAGACACACUUGCAAUUAAUCAGCCUCCAUUUUUGGUGGUGCACUUGGUUGUAGGUGGGUCAGCAUCAGUUAUAGCGGUAGGAAAAAGACUGUGGGAAUGUGGCUUCUUUCGGGAAGUGUUAUAGCCCAAAGUGUAAUGCUGCCUGCUGUGACUGAGGACCGCGCUUCGGUGAGGAUGCUGGCAUAAUGGUUGUAAGUGACCCGUCUUGAAACACGGACCAAGGAGUCUAACAUCUAUGCGAGUGUUUGGGUGU